UGGCUCAUGGUGUAAUGGUAACACAGCAGAUUUUGGUUCUGUUAUUCAAGGUUCGAGUCCUUGUGAGCCAACAA
rnacentral:tRNA from 5 species